rnacentral:tRNA from 1 species
AAAGAUUUAGUUAAAUUUAUAACAUUAGAAUGUCAAACUAAAAUUAUUCUUUGAAUAAUCUUUU